GUGGCAGCAGUAGUGGUAGACUUGCCCCUGCCCUCCUCUGUGGCUUCGUUGCUCCUCCCUUCAUCCUUCGUCCUCCACUUGGCAGAUUCCACGGCCUUAGUUGGCUGCGUCGUCUUCUCCUCAGCUUUGGCCUUCUCUUCUUGUGGUGCUGCUGCUGCUGCUGCUGCUACUACCAGCGGCUCGCGUUCCAUAGUAGCGGCAUCGUCCCUUGACUCGGCCCCAGUACUAGCAACUUCUUUUGAUGCAGUUUCGCAGUCGACUUGCUUUAUUAUCUUGGCUUCAUCCUCAGCCUCCUUCGGUUCAGUCGUCGUUUCACCGACGACAGCAGCCUCAUUGAGCUCGUUCUGACCAACGGCUUCGUUUGGCUCAGCUGGUGAACAGCAGACAUCUCUCUUCAGCCCAGCUUCGUCCACAGCUUCCGCCGGUUUAACAGGUUCAUCAACCGCUUCUUCCAUCGGGAUGUUUAUAUCACUGCUCCCGAGCCCGACACAAGCCUUGUCGCCUGUGCUGCUCAGGUCUUCGCUGUCCUUCCCGUCACGCUUCUCCUCCAGAAUGUCCCCCGUGUUCUCUUCUUGAUCCUUGCACUCCUCCUGACUGGAGGAGGAGGACGUCGUCUUGCUGCUGUCGAGAUCCACGGAUUUCAGAUCGACAGGGUCAGGGAGCCGUUCUUGCAGGUGCUCCUCAAUGGAGGAGGUGCUUAUGCUCUCCUUCUCGUCGAACUGCAUCAGCAGCUCGUCGACCUCCUGUUCCUCGUUCUUGAGCGUCUCUGUUGGUCUCGCCGCCGGCACGCUCGUCGUCCUCUGGAUGGGGACAUAGUUCUCGGCUCCCGUACUCUUCUUUGCUAUUACCGUGCCAGGAGGAGCACGGGCGGGAGGUGCAGCUUGAGUUUUUCCAGCUCCUGCCGUUGUUUUCUGAGGCUUCGUCUUCAGCUUUACAGAAGAAGACGCUGCUGCCUUCUCGACACCAGCAGGCCUCGUCUUCUGCGCGGCGGUGGAUGGCGAUUUUGCUGCCCUGCUGGCCACAUCCUUAGACGACGAGGCGUUCGUAACCGCGCCGCCGGCCGCAGGCCACACGGAUGUGGCACCGGGCUUCUCUGCUCUCCUUCUCGCCGCGUUUGUCUGCCUUGCGCUUGCACUUGCACCACCCACGGACGACGAAGCGGAGCGCAUCGUCUUCCCGUGGCUUGAAGAGGCCGCCGAGCUAGAUGUUGUUGUGGACCGGGACGAGGUCGUGCGAGUGUUGAGUGAUGAUGCCGGUCGGCUGGCGUUGUCUGAGACUGGGGCCGGGGAUGGGGACGAUCU
rnacentral:lncRNA from 1 species